UACGGAGGGAGCUAGCGUUAUUCGGAAUUACUGGGCGUAAAGCGCACGUAGGCGGCUUUGUAAGUAAGAGGUGAAAGCCCAGAGCUCAACUCUGGAAUUGCCUUUUAGACUGCAUCGCUUGAAUCAUGGAGAGGUCAGUGGAAUUCCGAGUGUAGAGGUGAAAUUCGUAGAUAUUCGGAAGAACACCAGUGGCGAAGGCGGCUGACUGGACAUGUAUUGACGCUGAGGUGCGAAAGCGUGGGGAGCAAACAG
rnacentral:rRNA from 1 species